CCCAGUGACCACAGGUAUACGCGAACUACCCGAUCCCAUUCCGAACUCGGUCGUAAAAGUGUAUAUCGCUGAUGAUACUGUAAGGGAAAGUAAGUAUUGCUGGGU
rnacentral:rRNA from 1 species